rnacentral:lncRNA from 1 species
CAGAAAGGAAAAAGAAAACCAAAGAGGUUAUUUUUGUUCAAGUAGAGAAAGGAGUUCCUUUUGGCACCUUUUCUAAGGCAUGAACUAUACCCAAAGAACAGCUGAAAUGGGGUGGGAAUGGCACUCCUGGUGUAAACAGUGAGAUUUUUCUAAGGCAACAGCUACUCCUUUAGAUACAGGUUUGUGCUGAACUGGAAAUUUGGGAGGUAGAAACUGAUUAUCAUUCCUGCUGGUAAAUCUGCCAGGCUAAAUAUGAAAAUAAAAGGCCCAAAUUUUCCAGGCAAAGCUUGCCAAUUCUAAAUAAUCCUGCUAAACAUGUCAGCUGGAGACUGAUGCAAGGGCUGCUGCUCAUACAUUAUGUAGAAUUCAGGGCCACAGCACAGAACUCUGAGGUUUUGGGGCUGAGAAAUGUGUCUGGAUCUGCUCCACUGCUGUUCUGCAUUAUUCUUUCUUCUGUGCCUCUUGUGGUAUUCGUGACAGCCAGUGACAAUGUCAUAGAAGGCUACCACGUUGGUUGAGCAUGACUUCCCCCUGGUGAACCCAUGAUGGCUACUCCUGAUAACCUCCUUUUCUUCCAAUUGUUUGGAGAUGGCAUCCAGCACAACCUGUUCCAUCACCUUUCCAGGGACAGAGGUGAGGCUGAAUAUAAUAAAAUAUUAGUUAAGAUUUAUUUAUUUAUUUUU